AGUGAACGCUGGCGGUAGGCCUAACACAUGCAAGUCGAACGGCAGCACAGUAAGAGCUUGCUCUUACGGGUGGCGAGUGGCGGACGGGUGAGGAAUACAUCGGAAUCUACUUUUUCGUGGGGGAUAACGUAGGGAAACUUACGCUAAUACCGCAUACGACCUACGGGUGAAAGCAGGGGAUCUUCGGACCUUGCGCGAUUGAAUGAGCCGAUGUCGGAUUAGCUAGUUGGCGGGGUAAUGGCCCACCAAGGCGACGAUCCGUAGCUGGUCUGAGAGGAUGAUCAGCCACACUGGAACUGAGACACGGUCCAGACUCCUACGGGAGGCAGCAGUGGGGAAUGUUGGACAAUGGGCGCAAGCCUGAUCCAGCCAUACCGCGUGGGUGAAGAAGGCCUUCGGGUUGUAAAGCCCUUUUGUUGGGAAAGAAAAGCAGCAGGUUAAUACCCCGCUGUUCUGACGGUACCCAAAGAAUAAGCACCGGCUAACUUCGUG
rnacentral:rRNA from 1 species